rnacentral:rRNA from 1 species
CCUACGGGGGGCAGCAGUGGGGAAUAUUGGACAAUGGUGGGAACCCUGAUCCAGCCAUGCCGCGUGUGUGAAGAAGGCCCUCGGGUUGUAAAGCACUUUCAGUGAGGAAGAACGCCUGGUGGUUAAUACCCAUCAGGAAAGACAUCACUCACAGAAGAAGCACCGGCUAACUCCGUGCCAGCAGCCGCGGUAAUACGGAGGGUGCGAGCGUUAAUCGGAAUUACUGGGCGUAAAGCGCGCGUAGGUGGCUUGAUAAGCCGGUUGUGAAAGCCCCGGGCUCAACCUGGGAACGGCAUCCGGAACUGUCACGCUAGAGUGCAGGAGAGGAAGGUAGAAUUCCCGGUGUAGCGGUGAAAUGCGUAGAGAUCGGGAGGAAUACCAGUGGCGAAGGCGGCCUUCUGGACUGACACUGACACUGAGGUGCGAAAGCGUGGGUAGCAAACAGGAUUAGAUACCCGGGUAGUC